rnacentral:sRNA from 1 species
AGGGACAAUGGCGCAGUAUCCUAGUCGGCUUUGCCAGUUUUGAGGAAGGGCCUAAAAAUCCUUUAAAGGGCACAUCUAUGAAUCCCGUGGUGUCUGCUUCUUACGCCCAGUUUGGGGUGGAUGCUGGGGGAAGGCAACUUAUGCCUGCGGACACAGGGCGGCCUUCAAUGGCAUGAAGACGUCGAACCCUAUGUCUGUGGAGACCGGAUCGCGUGCAGAAGCGUACUCCCUUCGCGGUAAGCGACUUCUGUACGGUACCGGAUGAACCUGCAAUGCGGUGCUACCCGGCUAUAAGCCGUGAACGCUGUGUGCAGAGUAGCCUGCCUUGCGUGAGCAGCUCAGGGAAAAAGAGCCAAGCGUCCAAACUCAUGGCCUUGAGCGUUGGACGUUUUCUUUGGAAAGACUGCUUGCAAAAGAGGAUAGAAACUGGAAAAAUCCGCUGUGGAAAUCACCUAGGCUGUCCGUCUGGGGCAGAAAUGGGAUUGCGGUACGGACUAAGUGGCAAUCGGGUAUCGGUCAUGGAGACAGACCGGCUUGGGCGCGAAAGGGAAACCGCCUCCUUCGGUGACGAGAGGUUCGCUCAUGGGGAAAACAAACCCGACCUAAGCCGUAAGAUUAACCAUUUUUGCCGCCAUUGUUGUUUUU